rnacentral:rRNA from 1 species
GACGAACGCUGGCGGCGUGCUUAACACAUGCAAGUCGAACGGUGAUGCUCCAGCUUGCUGGAGUGGCUCAGUGGCGAACGGGUGAGUAACACGUGAGCAACCUGCCCCAGACUCUGGAAUAAGCGCUGGAAACGGCGUCUAAUCCUGGAUACGAAACUGGCCCGCAUGGGCAUGGUUUGGAAAGUUUUUCGGUUUGGGAUGGGCUCGCGGCCUAUCAGCUUGUUGGUGAGGUAAUGGCUCACCAAGGCGACGACGGGUAGCCGGCCUGAGAGGGCGACCGGCCACACUGGGACUGAGACACGGCCCAGACUCCUACGGGAGGCAGCAGUGGGGAAUAUUGCACAAUGGGCGAAAGCCUGAUGCAGCGACGCCGCGUGAGGGAUGACGGCCUUCGGGUUGUAAACCUCUUUCAGCAGGGAAGAAGCGAAAGUGACGGUACCUGCAGAAGAAGCACCGGCUAACUACGUG